GCAGUGCAGUGCAAACCACGGCAGCAGCAUUUGCUGGCUUUCAUCUCUUCAGUCCCUCCUUAGAGGCUGCCUGUGCUAACCAUCUGCACCCAACCCAGGCUUUGGGUUUUCAGUGGUAACUACAGGUCUCCUGAAAAUGUUGUCACCUGGCAGCCUGGGAGGUGGAGGGCCCCUCAGCUGAUGUGUAAUAACCAUAGGCACUUUGGAGGAAAAAAAAAAACUGCUGAAGGCUAUACAUUGAUGAAAAAAUUAGCAUUUAUCAGUAUAACACCAUUAUGAGACCAGCAUGGCACUAACAUACACAAAAUCUAAAUCUAUUUUUCUGCUUAGACUUAGGAAAACCUGAAAGACUGUGAUCUCACCAGGCAGAAAACGUCUCCUUGCAGUAUAAGCACUGAAAGUAAUUGGGCAGAAGCAAAUAAUUUGCAUAUAAUUGAACAAGACAUAAUAAAAAAACCACCCCAGCAAAGGGAUGAGCCAGCACCAAAAGGCCAUUCAUUACCUGCACUGAGUUCAACCGGCAGUAUCCGUUCAAGGGAAACCUGAUAACGUGGGUUGGGUCCUGGUUCCAGCCUGCGUUUACAGAG